ACCCUCGGGCCCCGCAGACGCCGCAGCAACGCGUCCUCGUCGUUCUCGACGUCGCCGAAGACCAGCUCCUCCAAGCACCGCUCCACGGCCGGUUUGUCCUCCUCCAGCCUCAGGCGGUUCCGCUGCCGGAGCCGUCUCUCUUCCUCCGCCGCCGCGACUGCAAUCGCAGCGGCCGCCGCGCUCGGCCGGGCCGGCGGUUUCCGCUGGGAUGAAGGGGCAGGCUUUUGGGGAGGCCCGCCUGGCCCCGCUCCGGCUUUCCAGUCCGGCCUCAUUCCGGGCUUCCGCUUCGGCUUCGCUCCGGUUCUCCGGUCCAGUUUCAUUCGUCUCCUCCGUUCCGGCGGCAUCGUUAGGUUUGAGGAGAAACGCAGGCGCUCACGUGGAACCUCGCUGCGCAUGCGCCCAGGCCCCUCGCUGGCCGCCGCCGCCGAAGCCCCGGGCGCCGGAAGGAGCCUGCGCAGCCUCUUGCCACGUGACCAGCACUCCCUCCCUCUACGUAACUCCCGCUCCCCUACCCAGCCCCGCCCCGUGUGGGAGUUCCUCCGGGAGGGCCAAUCUUCCGGGUGUAGGGGGAAGCGGCGUGACUGGAGUGGAAAAUUUUUCCAACACAAUUUCGCAGCUGCAACAUAUUGAAAGGAGCGCAAGAAACCCCGAGUAUACACUGGGACGGCUGAAUGGAACUUCUGCUUUUCCUCUUGGCUGUAACCACUUGACUUGACACAAGCCUCAAUACGCUUUCCACCCUUCGUCUUGGUACGGUCCUUGGAGUACGGAGCCUGCAGAGGGUCCCACGGUGGAAGCGAGAGAGGAGGAGUCGGAAGAGACGUUAGAGGUCAUCCAAAGCAGCCGUCCCCUCUGCAGCCUCUCUGACAAGUGCUUUCCAGGUUCGUACUUAAGGAUUCAUAGCUUUCUUCGGAAGAACUGAAAGCCUAUUCAUGUGAAUUUUUUUAUUUUAUCAUACAUCCUUCCUG
rnacentral:lncRNA from 1 species